rnacentral:rRNA from 1 species
UACGAAGGGGGCUAGCGUUGCUCGGAAUCACUGGGCGUAAAGGGUGCGUAGGUGGCGCCGUAAGUCAGGUGUGAAAUUUCGGAGCUUAACUCCGAAACUGCAUUUGAUACUGCGGUGCUUGAGGACUGGAGAGGAGACUGGAAUUUACGGUGUAGCAGUGAAAUGCGUAGAGAUCGUAAGGAAGACCAGUGGCGAAGGCGGGUCUCUGGACAGUUCCUGACACUGAGGCACGAAGGCCAGGGGAGCAAACGGG